AAAUCAUCAUGCCCCUUAUGUUCUGGGCUACACACGUGCUACAAUGGCCGGUACAGACGGACGCAAAGCCGCGAGGUGGAGCAAAUCCUAAAAAAGCCGGUCUCAGUUCGGAUUGCAGGCUGCAAUUCGCCUGCAUGAAGUCGGAAUCGCUAGUAAUCGCAGGUCAGCAUACUGCGGUGAAUACGUUCCCGGGCCUU
rnacentral:rRNA from 1 species